UGGGGAAUAUUGCACAAUGGGGGAAACCCUGAUGCAGCAACGCCGCGUGAAGGAUGAAGGCCUUUGGGUCGUAAACUUCUGUUCUAAGGGAAGAUAGUGACGGUACCUUAGGAGCAAGUCCCGGCUAACUACGUGCCAGCAGCCGCGGUAAUACGUAGGGGGCAAGCGUUAUCCGGAAUUAUUGGGCGUAAAGAGUACGUAGGUGGUUUUCUAAGCACGGGGUUUAAGGCAAUGGCUUAACCAUUGUUCGCCUUGUGAACUGGAAGACUUGAGUGCAGGAGAGGAAAGCGGAAUUCCUAGUGUAGCGGUGAAAUGCGUAGAUAUUAGGAGGAACACCAGUGGCGAAGGCGGCUUUCUGGACUGUAACUGACACUGAGGUACGAAAGCGUGGGGAGCAAACA
rnacentral:rRNA from 1 species